AUAUGUUUUUAUUUCUCCCUCAUAAUAAGACAACACCACAUUUUGGAAAUAUUUCACCUUUGCACUGGGUAAGUUUAGACCAAAACAUUUCAUGUUCUGGGUUGAUAGACCAGAAAUAACAUUUUAAAGGCAACUCCUGUGAACAUGUUGCUUAAAACCGCUUAACAAGAUGCUGAAAUAACAUUUGGUGAAUUUAUGGCCUCUUUUAAGCAGUGAAUUACUGUAAACCUCAAGUUGUUGGUUAAGCAAAUCACAAUACAACUAAAAUGACUUCUCAUGAAAAUGUGAAACAACGAGGAAGUCGAAUAUUUACAAAACAAAUAACCUGAAAGGCGAAUGAUCCAAUAACACAGUGACCUUUCAUUGUUGUGACCUUUGCCUGAUCUGCUGAUGUUGCUGCAGUGGCAGCUUUAUUUGGGUGGUUCCCUGUUUUCAUAUUAGCUUAAUAGACAUCCUCAUGAGGUCACCAGUGAUGGGUUCAGAGAGAUGAUCGAUAAUAAUCAGUGUAUAAUUUCAAUGUACUUUAUAUAAUUCAAAUAAGUACUAAUGACUGACACACAUUUGCCCUCUGAAAGAUAAUAAUACUCCAUCAAAAUGUCGCAUGAAGUAAGUUAUUUAAUUAAACAUGUCUGAUGACAGAGAUGCGCUACAUUUCUUUGGGAGGGGGUGAAGCGUUAAUCGGAUUACUUAUGAGCUCAGAAGAACUAUAUUAACCGAGAUCCUGAGCCCAAAGAGUCGCUUAGCUUGAACUCCAGAGAAGCAAAGCUGAUCGGUUUAUGCUGGAGAACUCCAACAAGAAAAAUGGAGGAAAAUCGAAGCUGCUGUAAUCUUGCUUCCCUGGUUGUGUUGGUCAUUCUUAUGUUUCCUGUGACAUGUUUGACUACAGGAGACACAUAUAAACCACCCAGAGAGAGAAGCGAAAACAAAAUACUCAAGAGAUUUAAUCCCACUGACUACGACAACUUUGUGGGUCUUUUGGGAAAGAGACACGCUGCUUCAGCAUCGAGUAAGCAUUUCUUAUAUCAUUAAUCUCAAAACAUUUCCGUUUUCUUGCAAGGCAGUGUUUAAGUUGGGGGUUUACAAAAAUAAAUUUAAUUUUCUGUCUUGCGCAGAUUAUGCCGAUCACAUUCUUGCUGACCUGCUAAAACAAGAAACAGCAGGAGCGGGUUGUGGAUCAGUGCCAACAUUUCUGCAGAAGACGAGGUUCAAAUUCUCCAACUGUGAAAAGCAAAGGUGAGAAAUGGACUUCAAUCUGUCCUAAAGAAAACAAAUGUGAUACUAGACUGUUUGGCAACUGAACCAUGUUUGAUUUUCCACAGAAAACGACACCCUCUGUAAUGCAGAUGUCAAACAUCCGUGUGUGACCAGCUGCCAUAAAACCUGCAAUUUCUCAAAGCUCUCCUAUUCAACAGAAUUAUCCAUUGUUGGCAGCCACAGAAGGAUAAACAUGCUGGUUGCCAAUGAAAUCACAACUGUGACAUCUGUUGCAAAAAUGUAUCACGAAACAGUACAGUAAAAUAUUUAUUUAUAGUGAUUAAAGUACCUUUCACAAAAAAAAAAAAAAAAAAAAAAAAUCCCAAUUUUUCUUUUGGUUCCCAAAUUCCCAAACUUAAAUUCCAACAACUAACAUAAAUACGUGUCAAGUGUCAAUACAGCACUGUACAUUUUUCCCUUUGAGAAAAACCUUAAUAUUGACAAGAUUGUCAAGGAACCGGUGUCUCACUCUUCCCAUUAAGAAAAAAUUCAAUGCAGCAGGUAUUAAACAUGAGCACAAGCAACGUCUUUAAAAGAGGCUUCAACAUAAAACAUCCCAAUUCGACUGACACCGAGACGUGUGAAAUCUCCUGUUAAACCAUCUCCUGUUAAAAAAAAACAACGGAUAAAAAAGGGAACCACACAAAUAAUCAGUUGUAAGACCGAGUCUGAAAGGCUUCCAUGUAAUACAAAUUUAAAGUGAUUGAAAUCAAAUUCAAAAGUGCAGUAUGGGUUUUUUUUUCAGCCACUUCUUGGUCUUCACUUUUUCACAAACUUAAAAUGUUCAGUUUAUCAGACACUGUAAGUAGAAACUGCUGGACAUACUUUUACACAUUGUGUGUCAUCUAAAAAAAAAAAAAAAAGUUUUCUCCAGUUAAACUAAAGCAUACAGAAGCAAAACUGUGUCUAAAAAAAGAAGUAAACACACACUAUGAAAGGCUUGAAUAAAAUUAUCCUUUAUCCUCCUUUUAAUCCCCAUUUUAACGUCACAGUGCAAAGUCGCGUGUGCAGCUCAUGGCUCAUACAUUCUCAGUUCGCAAGGCACAUUCUUUACGCGUCAGCUUGGGGAGAAGGAUGCAGGAACUUGCCAAAUGUACGUGUGUGUUAGUGUGUGUGUGUAUAGUGGCAGUUUCAGGAAGCGCAGACAAAUAUUCUGCAACUGUUUGCUUACAGCAAACCAGGCGUUGUUUCAAAAAUAAGAAAUUAUUCAAUCAACUACUUCCUCAUCCAUCGAGUUUUUCCAGAUGCGCCAGGAAACGUGGCUGUAUGAGUGAAGCUGCUGGAUGAACUGAAUUAAGACAACUAACAAACCUGUAUUUGUCUUCCCUCACUGGGUAACCUUUUCUCCAGCGGAGGAAUCUUUGGUUGAAUUAUAUAGAUCUGGAAUAUUAUAGUAAACAUGCCUAAUGUAAGUAUACUGGCUCAUUUACACAGGAUUGGGGAUAUUGUAGAUUAGAUUAGAUGUUAUGGAACUAAGUAAAACAAUUCACCCUCAAGUUGUGUCCAAAUCUGUUUAUGUUCCCUUUACAGUGCUGUGAAAAAAGUUGUAGGUACUUUUUGCGUUUUUCUAACUUAUUUCAGAUCAAAUAAAUUUUAAUAGCCGACUGUCUCAAUGUGAGAAGAUAAUUGAAUCAAUAAUCAAACUAAAUCAUUUAACUAAAGUUGAUCAAGACAUUGUAAAUGAUGGGACCAUGACUUUUGCUCUACCAGAAAUAUUCUGAUGUCCGGCCAUCAGAACGUGACCUAAAGCUCAAGCAAACAUUUGAUUGGCUCAAUAAAA